rnacentral:RNase_P_RNA from 1 species
AGAGCUGGUCGGAUAGUUACUCUUGGUCUGCUGUAAGCUCAUCAGGAGAGGAAAGUCCGAGCACCGCAGGGUAGAACGCCGUGUAAUCCACGGGGUAUGAAAAUACAUGGAAAGUGCAGCAGAAAAUAUACCGCCUCGCCAAUGGUGAGGUAAGGGUGAAAAGGUGGUGUAAGAGACCACCAGUUCCCGAUAAAAAUCGAGAAGCUUGUAAACCCCAUUUGGUGCAAGAUCAAAUAAACCCCCAGAUGUGACCCGCAUCGCUACGAGGGGAGGGUUGAUUGCGUGAUCCCGUCAGAAAUGUCGGGACCAGAUGAAUGACUAUCGAUAACAGAACUCGGCUUAUAGAUCAGCUCUAUUU